rnacentral:rRNA from 1 species
GACGAACCGUGCAAACGUUGUUCGGAAUCACUGGGCUUAAAGGGCGCGUAGGCGGCACUGUUAGUCAGGCGUGAAAGUCCUGGGCUCAACCUGGGAACUGCGCUUGAUACGGCAGAGCUAGAGGAUGGAAGAGGGUCGCGGAAUUCCCAGUGUAGAGGUGAAAUUCGUAGAUAUUGGGAAGAACACCGGUGGCGAAGGCGGCGACCUGGUCCAUUACUGACGCUGAGGCGCGACAGCGUGGGGAGCAAACAGG